CUCUUCUCCCGUCGCUGUUGAUGGACUUCCAGUGGCGUUGGUGGGGUGCUCAGCUUCCGCACCUCUCUCGGACAUUUUUUUCGACACCAAAGAGGGUUUUUUCGCCGUUGCUUCGCUUUUCGCUGGAGUCCUCGUUGCCUUCGCUGUAUGAUAAAUGUCGUCGUUGUCGCCUUCGCUCUUCGCCGGAAGUCGUCGCUGGAAGCCGAAGCCGCAGGGAGUAGUGGUCGCAGGGAGUAGUGGCCGCAGGGAGUAGUGUUCGCCGGUGGUUGGAUGUGAGGAAGAAGAAGAAGAAGCUCGUUGCUGCUGCUGCUGUCGCUGCCGCUGGAGAGGAAGCUCGUUGCCGCCGCUGCGCUGGAGUCCGCCGAGUCGCCGCCGCCGUUCCGCAAAAACCCUAGGCAAGGUCGCUGCUGCCGCUGGAGAGGAAGCUCGUCACCGCCGCUGCGCUAGAGAGGAAGGUCGCCGCCGCCGGUGGAGAUUUCGUUUCCGCAAGAAGGGAAAGUCAAAAGAUUUGGAAGAAGAUUCCGCUGGUGGUUCAUUGGAAGAAGAAGAAGCACAAAAGAUUUGAUUUGAGGAAGAAGAAGAAGCGCAGGGAGAUUUAAUUUCUUUAGGGCUUUUUCCUUUCUUUUUUUUCUUUUUAAUUGUUAAGUCAAAUUCCAGAUUUUUAUUUUGUUUUAUUUUAUAUUUUGUAAGUUAAGAUUUAUUUUAGUUUUCUUUUAUUUUUAUUUAGUUAUAAGUAAGGGUUGUUUUGUCUUUUCAAUGGGUUUUGACCCCUAAAGUCAUGUAUUAUAAGUGGUGGCUAUAUAAGUCCUAAACUAUGUCAUUUUGG
rnacentral:lncRNA from 1 species